CAGUAGCCGCGGUAAUACAGAGGGUGCGAGCGUUAAUCGGAUUUACUGGGCGUAAAGCGUGCGUAGGCGGCUUUUUAAGUCGGAUGUGAAAUCCCUGAGCUUAACUUAGGAAUUGCAUUCGAUACUGGGAAGCUAGAGUAUGGGAGAGGAUGGUAGAAUUCCAGGUGUAGCGGUGAAAUGCGUAGAGAUCUGGAGGAAUACCGAUGGCGAAGGCAGCCAUCUGGCCUAAUACUGACGCUGAGGUACGAAAGCAUGGGGAGCAAACAGGAUUAGAUACCCCUGUAGUCCCUGUCUCUUAUAC
rnacentral:rRNA from 1 species